GGCCUCAAGUGAACAGGAAAAGCUCAUAUUUCAAGGCCACUGACUGCAGCCCAUUCAGCUCUUGGCCAGUACACAGAGAAAAACUCGAUUCAUUUCACCAGUAUCCCUUAAUCUCUUGCCUUGGAUCCCAUUCCAUGCCACAAGGAUUGAUAAAUCGUACAAUCCCCUGAAGAUUAUUAUAGCGUCUAAUAGUGUUAGGACACGAGAAAGAAGUGAGGCUCAAUGGCACAAA
rnacentral:lncRNA from 1 species